UACGGAGGGUGCGAGCGUUANUCGGAAUUACUGGGCGUAAAGCGCACGCAGGCGGUUUGUUAAGCUAGAUGUGAAAGCCCCGGGCUCAACCUGGGAUGGUCAUUUAGAACUGGCAGACUAGAGUCUUGGAGAGGGGAGUGGAAUUCCAGGUGUAGCGGUGAAAUGCGUAGAUAUCUGGAGGAACAUCAGUGGCGAAGGCGACUCCCUGGCCAAAGACUGACGCUCAUGUGCGAAAGUGUGGGUAGCGAACAGG
rnacentral:rRNA from 1 species